GUCUUCUUCUUUGGCUAUCCUGCCAGAAGACACACGUCUCGUGUUUGGCAGAUACCUAGAUAAGACCCGGACGUCUGUAUUGCACAUUCCUUUGUAAUAAAUCCAUUUGCUGUUAACUUUUUCUAAUCAUUGGUCAUAUCUUCCUCGACUCGUGAACACGCAUAGGGUCCAAACUCGCAAAUCCCUACAAUUUAGUGACCCCGACCGGAAGUCAAGGGAGGUAGACGAGCGUUGGCCGUCGACAGAUGAGAUAAAGAGAGACAUAUGAGAAACAUAGGAGUGUUAUACGGACAAGUCGAGGGUGCUCGUCUGUACUUCUGACUUCUCCAGGUCGCGAGCAAAACCAAAAGGUGAGCAGAAGCCUGUUUACUGUCGAAUUCUGCAUAUUGAACUGCCUAAAUUUGAGAAGUCAUUGGUAUCAGAUUGUUCAUGCCUCAUGUGAGUUGAGAAUAAGAGAUAAAGAAAUUAAAAGAUAAAGAGAAUACAACAAUAAGAGAUAAAGAGAAUAAGAGAUAAAGAGAGUAAGAGAUAAAGAGAAGUUGUAUAUCCCAUUGUAGCUGACGUAUAUUGUAGACGUACAAUUGCACUGUGAGGUUUACCUGUUACACCUAAGGGGGAUGGGAUCCCUUAAAAACAAAGGAUUUCCCGUUGGUUUGAGCCUGUGAUGUCACAAGGUGGCGUACGAAAAAAUUGAAUAGUAUCGGGGAAUUUGUUGCACGAUAGGAAUUUGGUUGGGUUUAGUCGAAGAAGAGCGACCACUAAAUUAAAUAAAUAAUCAUGACUGGUGAAUUUGAUUAUGAAUGUGCUGAAUAUAAUACAACUAAAAUGAAAUGUGCAUUGAAAUUGAGUGGCAAAUGAUGUCUAAUGAUGACAAAAAGAAACGAGAUAAAGAAAGGAAGCACGCAUUAAAAUAAUGGCAAAAGCACAAUUUGGGUAAAAUUCGCAAUUAGGACAAACUGGCAACCGUAAACCCUAACCAGCAAAAAUGAGGAAGGAGACACGUCGAACACGCACACAUGCACGUGCCCUGAAUCACACGUAAGUACACUACGCGCGCACACACACACGCACACAUACCACACACACACACAGACACAGAGGAAGCGAGGGCGCUGCAGGGGGGGAUUGGUGAAAACGGUCUUGUUGAUUUGACGCAAAGUGUCCUCUCGCAGGUGUAAAUAACACGACGAGUAUUAUAUUAUUAUUAUUAUAUAUUGUAUUAUGGCAGCACGGUGGAGCAGCUGGUAAAGCGUUGGCCUCACAGUUCCCGGGUUCAAUCCCGGACCUGCCUGUGUGGAGUUUGCAUGUUCUCCCUGUGCAUGCAUGGGUUUCCUCCCACAUUCCAAAAAUACGUAACAUUAGUUGGACCCUCAAGGUUGCUCCGAGGUGUGAUUGUGAGUGUGACUGUUGUCUGUCUCUAUGUGCCCUGUGAUUGGCUGGCAACCUUUUUCAGGGUGUACCCCGCCUCCUGCCCGUUGACAGUUGGGAUUGGCUCCAGCACUCUCCACAACCCUCAUGAGGAUAAGUGGUAAAGAAAAUGGAUGCACAUUAUAUGAUAUUAUUAUAUUAAAAACAAGCAAACAAAAUGCUACAAGGUUGAAAACUCUUUUUUUCAUGCUUUUUAUAUAUCCACUUUUUGAUCAUAUGACUUGCACCGUAUCCGUUUUUUUUUAAAUUGUGUUUGUCAUAUUUAUUGUUUUCCCCCCUUUUAAAUGUUUUAUCUCUUUAUUUUCAAAUGCCUCUAAUCGUGUAAAGCACAUUGAAUUACCGCGUGUAUGCAAUCCACUUUGCUUUGCUUUGCUUUGCUUUACAAUGAUGCCUAUGACAGAGGCUCCAGCAGGUCCAACGUACAAGCUGUUUGAUCUUAAAGAUGCUGAUUGUCUUGCUCGUUUGUCUUGUAUCUCUUCUGGUGGUAAUGCAUGGCUGUCUAGUUUUGUGGAAACUUUACAGGGAUAUACACUCUGCAUGGGAGACUAGAGACAAGUAGCAUCUCGUUCAUGCACUAGUAUUGAACAACAAGAAUUUGAGACAACUGCAGGUAUGCUUAACAUACCCAAUGGAACCAUAUUGAGAGCACACUUUGAGCGUCUGGCCGCAGGUAUCAGAGAGAGGUUCCCCACUCCUGUUUCAGCCCCACCCACUUAUUUCCCCUAUGUUAAACGACCCACUUGAGCACUUGACUAAGUUAACUAAACUUUGGACUGAAUCGACUGGACGUCGCCCUGGACAGUCUGGUUAGGAGAAGGUUAUGUUCAGGACUGGGAUCGAGGCAGGUCUCCCUGAUCCAGUACAGACCACUCUUAAAGCUGACCCUGACCUCCUGCCCGUAGAUGAGCCUAGAUUUAGACGACACUUAGUGCAUCACCUCAAAAUUUAUUCAAGCCAACAACAGGGUGAGGAUAAUGAAAUUACUAAACUCACAAAACAACUUCUUAAAUUACAAGUAGUACAGGCAAGACGUAAAGGUCCAAAACCACACCAGAUGUAAUUUUUUUGGCAGGCACAAUCACCUAGACUGGCAGGUGGGUUCUGGGGUAAUAGCCAGCUUGGAUACACAGGAAGGCGUGAAGGGAGCAGGGGAGAAUGCAACAACAUCAACCUGAUCAAGGAUGCUUUGGUUGUGGUUCUCCCAAAAAAACUGGAUUAAAGACUGUUUUACAGCUCCUCCACCUCAAGGUCCAAUGCAAGGGCGUUGUGGCUGGUCCAACAACCGAGGGGGGCCAAGCAGAGGCAGAAACGACAGCUUUGGCGGCCCACCCCGGCAGCAGGAUGGACACCAGAAGGUUGAUCAGUACCACUAGGGGUCUCCGAGAAGCCGGUGGUCCGGCGAUGCAGGUGCCAUGAUCCCCAUUUCUGUUGCGGGGCAAAAAGUGAACACUCUCGUUGAGACAGGGGCAACACAUUCCUCACUCAACAUCUCGCUCCUGUACACUUUAUUUUCACAACACAAUGUGCAAUUGAUGGGCUUCUCAGGGACUCAACAGGCCCUUCAAUGGACUCAACCCCGACCGACAAACUUGGCUGGACAGACCUUCCAGCAUUCGUUUAUAAUGCCGGCAGCUGACACCGUCUGCCACUCUGGACAAUGGCUUAUGACACCUGAGAGUGAACCAACACCAACUGUGGACAAGUAUUGGGCCCGACUUGAACCAGAAACACCGCUCAAACCUGGUCUCAUACAUCAAUUUCUGUUGUGGAAGCCGUGGUUAAACACUCUUAGGGCUUACCUGCCUUCACUACAUCCAUACCAUUGCACACUAUAUUACGACCGCAACCACAAUCUAGUAUACAUGGAAAACUUUGCAUGCAUACAAGGUGAUGCUUGGGACAUUACAUCCACACAUAUAUAUGCAGCAAGAGAGUGUGGAGCGACAUCCUGCUCUCUUACACCAGACGAAUGACAUGGUUCAAACUGCAGGAAGAGUCAGUACCCCACAUUUCACUCGCACUGUCUCCAGGACACGAGGCCCGGCAGCUCGGACCUAUGGUGAAACAACUGACCCAAAUGACCGACUGGGAGGACACACCACUCCCUAACAUACAGAUCUCCAAAUCUACAGAUGCAUAUUGCUUCAUUGUUCCUGACGCACCUUCAACAAUUAAUAUCACCAUAUUAGAACACGAGACCCUAACUAGAGAACACGGACGUGAUUACUCUGACCAUGAUGACACCGAGUCAAGGUUAAAUGAACUGCCUAAGUUAGUUUGGUCUUCUGGACUCUUUGAUGUUGGACAUUGUACUAAGACACUAGACAUUAACAUUAAUGUUUUUCCAGGAUUUCAUGUUUACAGACCUCAAUAUCCUUGGCCCGCAGCUGCUAACGAGGGGAUGGAGGACAGUCUCACUGGAAUUCUUGAGUCUUGGAAACAACCACCUCCUCGAUCCAGGACACUCUUCCAACACCACCACCUGGACUUCAUCUUCCUGAGUGGUCAUCCGUCUCCCUUAAACAAGAAAACCACCUGGCGGCAUCCUCCACUCCCAGGCGUUGCCAUGGAGAUGAACGACACCUGAUAAGGAGCAGAAAGUUACCAUCCCGGCCUAGGACCAGACUGCGAGGGGGGCAGCCACUUUUACCAUGGACCCAUACAUAUGAAAACCUUGUGUUA